CCUGUGGCUAUCCAUGUGAGGAAGACAGACUGAGUGACUCACAGCUCUGGCAGAAAUCCUCGUCAGAGCGUUCUGGACAAUUCUGCUUCCCGUCAUGGUAUGACAGUCCCCAGGUGCAGCUGAACAAAUAGCAGCUGAGGCUGUCGUCCGAUUGUCUCAUGUCCUCCUGGACCACCGCCACAGUGCAGUGAGGGUCUGCACAGCAGGCAUGGAGACAGUCUUUCCAACUGUACACCCGGUCAGGAGCCGAGAGGAAGGUGGCUCCCUGCUCAAUGGAGGCAGUCGCUCGGAUGAUGUGCUCCUCUACGGCGUUGAAAUCAGCCAGACAGACGUCCACUCCCUCUUCCUCCUCCCUGGUAUACGUCUGGUCCUGUUGGAGCUGCUUGCGGAAUUCCUCUAAGAGCUCCUCCACCCCCGAUAUUUUAGAUUUCAAGUCUGUUUGAGAGAACCGGGUUUGAAUGCUAGUCACUAUACAGAACAGCAGCACACACGUAAUGAGUCGAUGAUGCUUAGCCAAAGCCAUUAUGUUUACGCAGUUAAAUGGCAUCCCUCUCAGCUAUUUUCACGACGGAUGAGAGGCCCGUAUUUCAACACAAAAAAACAUAUAACGCAAAAGAAAAAGCAUCAUAUUGUUUCAUAUCCAAUCAUCUCGAAUCACAGGUGAGCACCUUUGCUUCUUUAAAAAACAUGCGGUGCUAAAGGCCUUUUGUCCGUAUCAUGAUAACACUGCGCAGGGAGCGCACAACAUCUGUAACGCAGGACAUCCACACCGAUUGGAGGCCAAAAGAAAUAAUUGACGUCACAGUGUUCAGUCUCUGCACACCUGUCAGUUUUGCUUUUAUGCAACUUCCUAUGACAGAUAUAUGUCGUCUGCAAGAGUAAUAAAAAUGAUAUUUAC